UACGGGGGGAGCAAGCGUUGUUCGGAUUUACUGGGCGUAAAGGGCGCGUAGGCGGCCACCGCAAGUCGGUUGUGAAAUCUCCGGGCUUAACCCGGAACGGUCAAUCGAUACUGCGGGGCUAGAGUGCAGAAGGGGCAACUGGAAUUCUCGGUGUAGCGGUGAAAUGCGUAGAUAUCGAGAGGAACACCUGCGGCGAAGGCGGGUUGCUGGGCUGACACUGACGCUGAGGAGCGAAAGCGUGGGGAGCGAACAGG
rnacentral:rRNA from 1 species